rnacentral:miRNA from 14 species
UUGCUGCUGCUGCUUCUUCUUCUUCCUCUUCCUCUUCCUCUUCCUCUUCCUCUUCCUCCUCUUCCUCCUCCUCCUCCUCCUCCUCUUCUUCUCUUUUAAAUGCUUUGCUUCUUGAAAGUAAGAAGUAAUUUUCCUCAGGUUUGCAUCCCUCAUGACUAGCACUGUGUCUGGCAUAUAGAACAUAUUCAGUAAAUAG